CAUGGCAAGUCGAACGAACUCUGGUAUUGAUUGGUGCUUGCAUCAUGAUUUACAUUUGAGUGAGUGGCGAACUGGUGAGUAACACGUGGGAAACCUGCCCAGAAGCGGGGGAUAACACCUGGAAACAGAUGCUAAUACCGCAUAACAACUUGGACCGCAUGGUCCGAGCUUGAAAGAUGGCUUUGGCUAUCACUUUUGGAUGGUCCCGCGGCGUAUUAGCUAGAUGGUGGGGUAACGGCUCACCAUGGCAAUGAUACGUAGCCGACCUGAGAGGGUAAUCGGCCACAUUGGGACUGAGACACGGCCCAAACUCCUACGGGAGGCAGCAGUAGGGAAUCUUCCACAAUGGACGAAAGUCUGAUGGAGCAACGCCGCGUGAGUGAAGAAGGGUUUCGGCUCGUAAAACUCUGUUGUUAAAGAAGAACAUAUCUGAGAGUAACUGUUCAGGUAUUGACGGUAUUUAACCAGAAAGCCACGGCUAACUACGUGCCAGCAGCCGCGGUAAUACGUAGGUGGCAAGCGUUGUCCGGAUUUAUUGGGCGUAAAGCGAGCGCAGGCGGUUUUUUAAGUCUGAUGUGAAAGCCUUCGGCUCAACCGAAGAAGUGCAUCGGAAACUGGGAAACUUGAGUGCAGAAGAGGACAGUGGAACUCCAUGUGUAGCGGUGAAAUGCGUAGAUAUAUGGAAGAACACCAGUGGCGAAGGCGGCUGUCUGGUCUGUAACUGACGCUGAGGCUCGAAAGUAUGGGUAGCAAACAGGAUUAGAUACCCUGGUAGUCCAUACCGUAAACGAUGAAUGCUAAGUGUUGGAGGGUUUCCGCCCUUCAGUGCUGCAGCUAACGCAUUAAGCAUUCCGCCUGGGGAGUACGGCCGCAAGGCUGAAACUCAAAGGAAUUGACGGGGGCCCGCACAAGCGGUGGAGCAUGUGGUUUAAUUCGAAGCUACGCGAAGAACCUUACCAGGUCUUGACAUACUAUGCAAAUCUAAGAGAUUAGACGUUCCCUUCGGGGACAUGGAUACAGGUG
rnacentral:rRNA from 2 species